CAAUUCCCCUAGUAAUGGCGAAUGAAGCGGGAAGAGCUCAAAUUUGAAAUCUGCGUCGUCUUCGACGCCGAAUUGUAGUUUCGAGAAGCACUUUCUCGGCGGGUCCGGUUCCGUCCAAGUCGCUUGGAACAGCGCGUCGUAGAGGGUGAGAACCCCGUCUGUGGCGGAGCCGGCCGUUCACGAUGUGCUUUCGACGAGUCGGGUUGUUUGGGAAUGCAGCCCAAAAUGGGUGGUAAACUCCAUCUAAAGCUAAAUACUGGCACGAGACCGAUAGCGAACAAGUACCGUGAGGGAAAGAUGAAAAGCACUUUGAAAAGAGAGUUAAACAGUACGUGAAACCGUUAAAAGGGAAACGGAUGGGGUCAGCAAUGCGCUCUGCGAGAUUCAGCCGGGCGGCGCGUCGGGCGGGCGGUUGGCGGAUCUGAAUGGACCGCGGCCGCUCGGAUCGUCGCUCCGAUCGUCGCACUUCUCGCGAGCGCGCGCCAGCGUCGGUUGGAACUGGGUCUCAAAGGCGAGGGCAAGGUAGGCCGACUCCUUCGGGAGACGGCUGUUAUAGGCCUUCGUCGCAUGGCCCGGGUCCGACCGAGGAGUCGCGGCGCGUGCCUCCCCUCGUGGGUUGGCUGGGGUCCCUUCUCGCCGGUCGGCGGUCGAAUGCGGUGGACUGCGUGCAGUGCGCCGCGACCGCCGUCGGUCGCCGGGGAGGUGACUUCGCACUACGUGCCAAGGACGCUGGCGGUCAAAUGGCCUCAUUCGACCCGUCUUGAAACACGGACCAAGGAGUCUAACAUGUGCGCGAGUCUUCGAGUGAAGGAAGCUCGCCGGCGCAAUGAAAGUGAAGGUGGCCUCGCGCCGCCGAGGCGAGAGCCCCCUCUCGGGGGUGCAUCGUCGACCGACCUAUUCCGCUCUCGGGAAGGUUUGAGUGGGAGCGCACCUGUG
rnacentral:rRNA from 1 species